UACGUAGGGUGCGAGCGUUGUCCGGAAUUAUUGGGCGUAAAGAGCUUGUAGGUGGUUUGUCGCGUCUGCUGUGAAAAUCCGAGGCUCAACCUCGGACUUGCAGUGGGUACGGGCAGACUAGAGUGUGGUAGGGGAGACUGGAAUUCCUGGUGUAGCGGUGGAAUGCGCAGAUAUCAGGAGGGAACACCCGGUGGGCCGAAGGCGGCAUCCUGGACCGGUAUUGACG
rnacentral:rRNA from 1 species